rnacentral:rRNA from 1 species
AUUCGAGUGCGGGCCCUCGGGGCCAACCUCCCACCCGUGUUGCCCGAACCUAUGUUGCCUCGGCGGGCCCCGCGCCCGCCGACGGCCCCCCUGAACGCUGUCUGAAGUUGCAGUCUGAGACCUAUAACGAAAUUAGUUAAAACUUUCAACAACGGAUCUCUUGGUUCCGGCAUCGAUGAAGAACGCAGCGAAAUGCGAUAACUAAUGUGAAUUGCAGAAUUCAGUGAAUCAUCGAGUCUUUGAACGCACAUUGCGCCCUCUGGUAUUCCGGAGGGCAUGCCUGUCCGAGCGUCAUUGCUGCCCUCAAGCCCGGCUUGUGUGUUGGGCCCCGUCCCCCCCGCCGGGGGGACGGGCCCGAAAGGCAGCGGCGGCACCGCGUCCGGUCCUCGAGCGUAUGGGGCUUCGUCACCCGCUCUAGUAGGCCCGGCCGGCGCCAGCCGACCCCCAACCUUUAAUUAUCUCAGGUUGACCUCGGAUCAGGUAGGGAUACCCGCUGAACUUAAGCAUAUCAAAGCCCGGAGGA